rnacentral:lncRNA from 1 species
GUCGGGCAUCGCUGGGCAGAUGGCUGGGCGGAUGGCUGGGUAGGCUGGGGGACUGGCUCACUGUGGCGACCCGUGGUAGGAGACCCUCUGAUAGGGAUAUGGAGAGCCUUGCUGGUGGAGAACGCGGAGGGCCUCCUCCAUGGCCGUAGCCAGUUGCGCCAGCUGGUUGUGGUGUUGGUGGAGUAGACCGUCUGGAAGAUGGUUUUAUCCUCUGUUGCUUCCAUAUUGCGAGGUAGUAUCCUGUAACGUAAUUUGCCGAGAGUCAGGAAGUGAGGUAGUAUUCUGUAAGGUAAUACGCCGGGAGUCAGGAAGUGAGGUAGUAUUCUGUAACGUAAUACGCCGGGAGUCAGGAAGUGAGGUAGUAUUCUGUAACGUAAUACGCCGGGAGUCAGGAAGUGAGGUAGUAUUCUGUAACGUAAUACGCCGGGAGUCAGGAAGUGAGGUAGUAUUCUGUAACGUAAUACGCCGGGAGUCAGGAAGCAGGUGCAGAAUGUGAGUUUAACAAUGAAACGAUACAAAAGAACAUAACAUGAGAAACUUACUGAACGUAAAAGAAAACAAUACUAACUAGUGAGGGCUAAAUAAAGGGGGAGUAAUCAAGAAGAUAAAAUGGGGAUCAGGUGUAAAUACAGAGCAGGAAUAAUGAUGGAGCAGGUGUAAUGAUGGAGCAGGAAUAAUGAUGGAGCAGGAAUAAUGAUGGAGCAGGAAUAAUGAUGGAGCAGGUGUAAUGAUGGAGCAGGUGUAAUGAUGGAGCAGGUGUAAUGAUGGAGCAGGUGUAAUGAUGGAGCAGGUGUAAUGAUGGAGCAGGUGUGUGUAAUGAUGGAGCAGGUGUGUGUAAUGAUGGAGCAGGUGUGUGUAAUGAUGGAGCUGGUGUGUGUAAUGAUGGAGCUGGUGUGUGUAAUGAUGGAGCUGGUGUGUGUAAUGAUGGAGCUGGUGUGUGUAACGAUGGAGCUGGUGGGGGAAGGAGCGGGAGAAGGCAUGACUACUAGUCACCAUCUAAUGAUCUGUCAUGGCAGGUCUACUAGUCACCAUCUAAUGAUCUGUCAUGGCAGGUCUACUAGUCACCAUCUAAUGAUCUGUCAUGGCAGGUCUACUAGUCACCAUCUAAUGAUCUGUCAUGGCAGGUCUACUAGUCACCAUCUAAUGAUCUGUCAUGGCAGGUCUACUAGUCACCUCACCAUCUAAUGAUCUGUCAUCUCCAUUAAGUAGACAG